rnacentral:lncRNA from 1 species
AAUCAAUCUUUUCUUUCUCUAUCAUCAAAACAUCGAGGUUGGAACUAACGAGGCUUGCUAGACAUUGACCCACAUGUACAAGGGAUCUCAAGGCAUCGGCUGAUCGUUUCUCCCUCUGUUCGUUGAGAAAUAACCUUUUGGCUGGCGGUAGGAGGUUCCUCAAGUAUUUUACCAUAGUUUGGAGGAUCUCUCCUAUGGAUUGAGCAUGAGGCGUCGAAUCUGAGAGUUUUGUAUGAGCAGUGGAUGCAAGAAAGUGCCUAAUAAUGGUCAUCAUCUCCGAAGAUCCCCCUGUCUCCAUCAUCUUGG